GACGAACGCUGGCGGCGUGCUUAACACAUGCAAGUCGAACGGAAAGGCCCUGCUUGCAGGGUGCUCGAGUGGCGAACGGGUGAGUAACACGUGGGUGAUCUGCCCCUUACUUUGGGAUAAGCCUGGGAAACUGGGUCUAAUACUGAAUAGGACCAUGCUGUAGGUGGUGUGGUGGAAAGAUUAGUUUCGGUAAGGGAUGAGCUCGCGGCCUAUCAGCUUGUUGGUGGGGUAAUGGCCUACCAAGGCGUCGACGGGUAGCCGGCCUGAGAGGGUGGACGGCCACAUUGGGACUGAGAUACGGCCCAGACUCCUACGGGAGGCAGCAGUGGGGAAUAUUGCACAAUGGGCGCAAGCCUGAUGCAGCGACGCCGCGUGGGGGAUGACGGCCUUCGGGUUGUAAACUCCUUUCAGCCAUGACGAAGCCCUUGUGGUGACGGUAGUGGUAGAAGAAGCACCGGCUAACUACGUG
rnacentral:rRNA from 1 species